GAUGAACGCUGGCGGCGUGCCUAAUACAUGCAAGUCGAGCGAACAGACGAGGAGCUUGCUCCUCUGACGUUAGCGGCGGACGGGUGAGUAACACGUGGAUAACCUACCUAUAAGACUGGGAUAACUUCGGGAAACCGGAGCUAAUACCGGAUAAUAUAUUGAACCGCAUGGUUCAAUAGUGAAAGACGGGUUUGCUGUCACUUAGAGAUGGAUCCGCGCCGCAUUAGCUAGUUGGUAAGGUAACGGCUUACCAAGGCAACGAUGCGUAGCCGACCUGAGAGGGUGAUCGGCCACACUGGAACUGAGACACGGUCCAGACUCCUACGGGAGGCAGCAGUAGGGAAUCUUCCGCAAUGGGCGAAAGCUUGACGGAGCAACGCCGCGUGAGUGAUGAAGGUCUUCGGAUCGUAAAACUCUGUUAUUAGGGAAGAACAAAUGUGUAAGUAACUAUGCACGUCUUGACGGUACCUAAUCAGAAAGCCACGGCUAACUACGUG
rnacentral:rRNA from 1 species